rnacentral:lncRNA from 1 species
UUUCUGUUAAACAAAGAGAAUGGUGGCUUUUUUGAGUGGAGCACACCUGUCCCCACUUGUGGAGUUGCAGAAUGUGGGCACUGCCAGGAUUCCCUCUCAGCUCUCACCUCUGUAGAAAUCACGGCACAAUACAAACAAUGGAAAGCUCCUCUAUUAAAAUGUCUGGGUGCCACCGCGAGGCUUGCAGCAGAACAAUUUUGGCCUCUCUCCAGAGGCAGGUGUGACCGGAGCCAACCUGUCUGGAGUGACUUUUUUACUAUGAAACUAUCAGCAGCAUGGACGAGUGAAACAAUGUUGCAUUAUUUGGAGCCCCUGGGAAUGUGCACACCCCUUAUAAAUGGACUGUGUUUACGCUCCUGUCCCUUCACAGCUGGGAUUAAAAAUUGCCAGAGUUCAAAUAUUUAAUGUUCUUUCCUGUUUUCUAUCCCUGGAAUGUCUCAGUGUCGUCUGACUUGUUGCCAACACGUACACCAGAUUUUUCCUCCCUUGCCCAGGUUAUCACAUGUAUGAGAAGCUGGACGGUCAGUUCUUGUCACCUUUGGUGAUGUCUUAGCCUGAAAAUCAGCCGGUGCCCUCCUCAAGUUUGGAGGCAGCCUCCUAGGGCUAUUCUGUUCUGUGUUAUUUUUCUUUCCAGGUUGCAACAAGAUAUUUAAUUUUGAUCAUGAGAAUAAUUUUAUAUUGCAUUUCACAAUAUGUUAUUUCAUUUCCUCAGUGAUUUUGGAAUGUUAGUGGUCACAAAAGGAUGUAGGUAAGAGAAGUGGGAAAGGGGCAAGUUAUGAAUUACUCUAUAGAAUGUUAUGUACUGCAAAGAUGACAAGUUCUAUCUUUCUUUCUUGCUCAAGACCCCUGUCAGAUCAGACUGCUUGGCAAGAGGAAGAAUUUGAGUGAGAAAGUGGCACUUCCAGAUAUUUAGCAGACCAGGCUGAGUCCUGAUGUCUAAACACAGGCUGCAAGUGGCGUUGCACAGUCGGGGCGCAGCUAUAGUUGCUAUGGUAGUGGCUGGGGCCACUGGUCCAAGGAACAGAUGAAAUCUCUAACUGGGGUGAGCUGUAGGGAGCUUCUAGGAUCACACAGGGACAAAGGAACAAUGGCAGUGUCUUAGUCUGCUUGGGGGGCAAUCACAAGAUGCUAUAGACUGGGAUGCUUAAACAACAGACAUUUAUGGCUCUCACAGUCCUAGAGGCCAGGAUAUCCAGCAUCAAGGUGCCAGCAGAUUUGGUUCCUGAUGAAUGCCCUUUUUCUGACUGGUGGCUGACUUGGUGGCUGACUUCUCACUGUGUGCUCACAGUGGAGAGAGCAGGAGCUCUGACCCCUCUUCCUCUUCUUAUAAGGAUACCCGCCAAUCCCAUCACAGAGCCACACCCUCAGGACUUCAUCUAAACCUAAUUGCCCCCCAAAGGCUUCAUCUCCAAAUACCAUCAUAUUGCGGAUUAGAGCUUCAACAUAUGAAUUUUGAGGGGGAGACAAAUAUUCAGUCCAUAUCAGUCAUGAAGCAUUAGACACACAGAGCAGUUACACACUCCACUGACCAUGGGAGCUCUGAGAGCUAGGGUCACAUACUUGGCGGCUGACCAACUUCACCCCUACUUUCCCGAUCCAGUGCUAGCCAAUUCCCCAAAUCAGCCAGGAGUGUGUCUGCUGCAUCUCUGGACUCUCACAGUUGCUACAGUCCCAGUUCAGCCCCCCAAGAUCACCCUGCAAAAGGACUCCCCAGGGUAAGAACCAGUCUUCCUGGAGGUACCAACAGGCAGAGAAAGAGAAACCUCCUCAACCUUCUCAUUCUUAUUUAUUUUCCAACCACAUUUAUUUCCAUGGAACAGCAAUAGGUCAGUGACAGAAGCCACAGUCUGAGACCCGCAGAUUUCUCAAAUGCACACGUUUGAGUUUGCAUAUAUACCCCCAAACCACACUUUUUCUUGUUCCCUCUUUCAAUUCCACCUUCAUCUGUGCCCUCCACCUCACCAGGAUAUUCUGUAUCACUCCUGGGUGGGGCCCCAGAGCUGACCUCUUCCUUGCCCAGCUCAAGUUUCUACAUCUUCCUCCUGGUAUUUUUGUGCCCUUAUAAUGUAGGACGUGGUUUGGGUCCCAGAUGUCCGUGAUGGACCCCCAUGUUUUCCUUCCUUGGUAGUAGAUUGCUUUGGCUAUUAUUCUUUUAUGAUCCAAGUUAUGCAAAGUAUCAAGCAUUUAUUUUCUUAACUUUCUCGUUAGUAAUAAAGUGAGCUGAAUAUUUCC